GCCUGGAGUCAGUAAGACCUAGACACUCUGGCCUCAGAUAUUCACUAGCUCUUUGACCCUGGGCACAUCACUUAACCUCUGUUUGCUUCAGUUUCCUCAUCUGUAGAAUGGGGAUAAUAGCACUUAGCUCCCAGAGUUGUGAGGAUCAAAU
rnacentral:snoRNA from 1 species